CAAGGAAGGCAGCAGGCACGCAAAUUACCCACUCCCGGCACGGGGAGGUAGUGACAAAAAAUAACGAUACGGGACUCAUCCGAGGCCCCGUAAUCGGAAUGAGAACACCCUAAAUCCUUUAACGAGGAUCUAUUGGAGGGCAAGUCUGGUGCCAGCAGCCGCGGUAAUUCCAGCUCCAAUAGCGUAUAUUAAAGUUGUUGCGGUUAAAAAGCUCGUAGUUGGUUCUGCGUGCCACGCUGUCGGUUCACCGCCUGCCGGUGCAACUGGCAUGCCGUGGCAUGUCCUGUCGGUGGCGGACAGGCUUCUCGGCGUGCCCUUGCGUCUUACGGCGUUUAGGUCGCUGCGCCGCGUUGUCCUCGUUCGCCGGCUCAAUCCUACCGCGGUGCUCUUUACCGAGUGUCGAGGUAGGCCGACACUGUUUACUUUGAACAAAUUAGAGUGCUUAAAGCAGGCUCUUAAAUCAGCCUGAAUAGUGGUGCAUGGAAUAAUGGAAAAGGACCUUGGUUCUAUUUUGUUGGUUUACGGAAUCCAAGGUAAUGAUCAAUAAGGACAGGCGGGGGCAUUCGUAUUGCGGCGUUAGACUUGGCAAAUGCUUUCGCGGUGAAAUUCUUGGAUCGUCGCAAGACGCACUAGAGCGAAAGCAUUUGCCAAGUAUGUCUUAAUUGAUCAAGAACGAAAGUUAGAGGCUCGAAGGCGAUCAGAUACCGCCCUAGUUCUAACCAUAAACGAUGCCAGCCAGCGAUCCGCCGAUGUUCCUCCGAUGACACGGCGGGGAGCUUUCCCCGGGAAACCAAAGCUUUUGGGUUCCGGGGGAAGUAUGGUUGCAAAGCUGAAACUUAAAGGAAUUGACGGAAGGGCACCACCAGGAGUGGAGCCUGCGGCUUAAUUUGACUCAACACGGGAAACCUCACCAGGCCCGGACAUUGGAAGGAUUGACAGAUCGAUAGCUCUUUCUCGAUUCAGUGGGUAGUGGUGCAUGGCCGUUCUUAGUUGGUGGACUGAUUUGUCUGGUUAAUUCCGAUAACGAACGAGACUCUGACCUAUUAACUAGGCGUUGCCGGUAUAAACAGCUACCGGCGAGAUUUUUUCUUCUU
rnacentral:rRNA from 1 species